rnacentral:rRNA from 1 species
UACGUAGGGACCAAGCGUUGUUCGGAUUUACUGGGCGUAAAGGGCGCGUAGGCGGCAUGACAAGUCACUUGUGAAAUCUCUGGGCUUAACCCAGAACGGCCAAGUGAUACUGUCGCGCUAGAGUGCGGAAGGGGCAAUCGGAAUUCUCGGUGUAGCGGUGAAAUGCGUAGAUAUCGAGAGGGAACACCUGGAGGUGAAGACGGGUUGCUGGGCCGACACUGACGCUGAGUGCGCGAAAGCCAGGGGAGCAAACGGG